CGAAUAAGGAUCGGCUAACUCCGUGCCAGCAGCCGCGGUAAUACGGAGGAUCCAAGCGUUAUCCGGAUUUAUUGGGUUUAAAGGGUGCGUAGGCGGACCCUUAAGUCAGUGGUGAAAGUUUGCGGCUCAACCGUAAAAUUGCCAUUGAAACUGAGGGUCUUGAGUGUAAAUGAGGUAGGCGGAAUGUGUUGUGUAGCGGUGAAAUGCUUAGAUAUAACACAGAACACCAAUUGCGAAGGCAGCUUACUGGGAUACAACUGACGCUGAGGCACGAAAGCGUGGGGAUCAAACAGGAUUAGAUACCCUGGUAGUCCACGCAGUAAACGAUGAUUACUAGCUGUUUGCGAUACACAGUAAGCGGCACAGCGAAAGCGUUAAGUAAUCCACCUGGGGAGUACGCCGGCAACGGUGAAACUCAAAGGAAUUGACGGGGGCCCGCACAAGCGGAGGAACAUGUGGUUUAAUUCGAUGAUACGCGAGGAACCUUACCCGGGCUUGAAAUGCAGACGACCGAAGUGGAAACACUUCUUCCAGCAAUGGCGUCUGUGUAGGUGCUGCAUGGUUGUCGUCAGCUCGUGCCGUGAGGUGUCGGCUUAAGUGCCAUAACGAGCGCAACCCUUAUCGAUAGUUACUAACAGGUUAAGCUGAGGACUCUAUCGAGACUGCCGUCGUAAGAUGUGAGGAAGGUGGGGAUGACGUCAAAUCAGCACGGCCCUUACGUCCGGGGCGACACACGUGUUACAAUGGGUGGUACAAAGGGCAGCUACCUGGCGACAGGAUGCUAAUCUCCAAAACCACUCUCAGUUCGGAUCGGAGUCUGCAACUCGACUCCGUGAAGCUGGAUUCGCUAGUAAUCGCGCAUCAGCCAUGGCGCGGUGAAUACGUUCCCGGGCCUUGUACACACCGCCCGUCAAGCCAUGGAAGCCGGGGGGACCUGAAGUACGUAACCGCAAGGAGCGUCCUAGGGUAAAACUGGUAACUGGGGCUAAGUCGUAACAAGGUAGCCGUACCGGAAGGUGCGGCUG
rnacentral:rRNA from 1 species